AUUGAACGCUGGCGGCAGGCCUAACACAUGCAAGUCGAACGAGUGGCGGACGGGUGAGUAAUGUCUGGGAAACUGCCAGAUGGAGGGGGAUAACUACUGGAAACGGUAGCUAAUACAGCAUACCAUCGGAUGUGCCCAGAUGGGAUUAGCGAGGAGGUGGGGUAAUGGCUCACCUAGGCGACGAUCCCUAGCUGGUCUGAGAGGAUGACCAGCCACACUGGAACUGAGACACGGUACUGACUCCUACGGGAGUCAGAAGUGGGGAAUAUUGCAAAAUGGGCGCAAGCCUGAUGAAGCCAUGCCGCGUGUAUGAAGAAGGCCUUCGGGUUGUAAAGUACUUUCAGCGGGGAGGCGUUACCCGCAGAAGAAGCACCGGCUAACUCCGUGCCAGCAGCCGCGGUAAUAC
rnacentral:rRNA from 1 species